GGCGCGGUGUUGGAAUGGCAGACAAGUCAGUCUCAAAAACUGAUGGGGGCAACUCCGUGAGGGUUCGACUCCCUCCCGCGCCA
rnacentral:tRNA from 1 species